rnacentral:tRNA from 1 species
GCGGGUAUAGUAUAAUGGUAAUACAGCAGCCUUCCAAGCUGAAUAUGUCGGUUCGAUUCCGUCUACCCGCU